UCAAAUGAAGAAAGUUGGGAUGCCCAUUCCCCCAUUCCCCCAUUGAACCUAAAUAGUCUACUCAAGAUAUUGGCCCCAAGGAAUGUGUUAUAUUGAGCCAUGGAAGUUCCGUCAAGUUGGUCAAUGUUCAAUGAACAGGUCUUUUUGUCGAAGAUGUCGGUGGUGUCGGGGGGUACGGGGAUGCUGGUUCAGAACCACCACAUCGGGAACAACAUGAACAUGCACGGCUCCAACAUGACCAAGCCAGCCGAGCCCGACCCGAGUUCGGUGGAGUACUUGGCACAGCUUAUCAAGGACAAGCAAGCCAUCGCUAUGGUCCCCAACAUGUUCCGGCACUUGGAGCGACUUUUGGAUGAAGAAAUCAGCAAAGUUCGGGUAAACCUCUUCAAGUUGAACAACUCCAAGCCUCUAGAGCUUCCAGCGCCAGACGGCCCCACAAUGACGUUAUCGGAAAAACUAUAUGUGCCAGUAAAAGAACACCCAGACUUCAACUUCGUGGGGAGGAUUUUGGGGCCGAGAGGAAUGACCGCCAAACAGCUGGAAGCAGAGACAGGCUGCAAGAUUAUGGUGCGGGGAAAGGGAUCCAUGAGGGACAAGAAGAAGGAGGAGCAGAACAGAGGCAAGCCGAACUGGGAGCACCUGAAUGAUGAGCUGCAUGUCCUGAUCACAGUGGAGGACUGUGAGACCAGAGCACGCAUCAAGCUGCAGAGGGCUGUAGAGGAAGUCAAGAAGCUACUCGUGCCAUCGCCUGAAGGUGAGGAUGACCUGAAGAAGAGACAGCUGAUGGAGCUGGCCAUCCUGAACGGGACGUACAGAGACAACAACACCAAAAACAUGACGAGCAGUCUGCCAUCGGACUUAGCUCUGACCGCCCCCUCCUUGUAUGCGUUUGCAGGGACAGACCAGAAGGCAGGGCUCACCCUCUAUUCGCCUCGGGGUGUCCCCGCCCCCAACACGCCCAUGGUGGCGCCUCCGACAGCAGUACGCUCCCCGAUGCCCGCGGGCGCGCCUCUCAUCGCCACCCCUGUCCUCCAGCGGUUACCUUCGACCCAGCAGAUUAUGUCCAAUGGGCUUCUUCCGCACAUGAUGUCUCCCGAGUCCAACUUUCUGUACACGCCUUACGACUACCCCUACUCCGUGCCUGCCUCAUCCAUUCUGCAGUACCCGAUUGAGCCCAGCGAAGCGAUAGGUAGGAACUCCCCGUAUCUGCUCGGUAAGGCUUACAUCCAGUGAGCAGAAGUGUGCCGUGCCUUAAUCCUACUGUACCCUUGGGACCAAUACACUCAGCAUGGGAAUGCGUUCUUGUGCACGGGACUUCUUCUCCCCCUCUGCUACUUCACCUUGAUUUAUAACACUGUACCAACAUGGAAAAUGCAAACACUGGUGGCACAGCUGUCCAACUUAUGUCUGGCUCAAACGUAGCUUUAUUUGGUAUUGUACUGGUUGCGCAAAUUGAAUCCAACAGGAAUUGGCGAAUUUUUACCCACAUGAUUUUGUUUGCAAUUGGUACAAUUUAAAAUGUCCUCCCAGCUUGCCACAAUGGUAAAUUUUUGGUGCUACUUUUUUUUUAUAAGGAUGAAUUUUGGCAAGUUUGGGAGGCCAGCUAUGCCACCACUGACUGCAUUGUAAAUGGGUUAUGUUGUCAAGCCAUGAGCCUUUGUACAUCACAUGUGUGCAGUUUGUUGAACAUUUCUCUGACAUGUUUUAGGUGCAGUGACAAAAGCGCGGAGGCAUGUGGUUAGGGAUCACCCCUAUCAAAGGGCUGUCAUAGACCGAGCCGCCGCCACCAACUAACACCACCACCACCACUGAGUGAGUGAGCAUUAACGACCAGCUCUCGAAUCGAUCGAUCGUGAACUGAUCGAACCGUGCGCCUGCCCUAGUCCCACCACCGCACUAUGUGAAGUCUUGGUGCACCAUCUCUAGAUCUUAUUAUCUUUGUACCUACUAGCUACCACUUCACUACCUACUAAAGCAUUGUUAAGGUCAAAGCAAGGUUGUUUGUUGUUGUUGUUGAUUAUUUACGUUCCUCUGUGGUCGCUGCAGUGGUGUUAUUUACGACCAUCGCUAACCCCACUCACCCAUCAUGGUUAGAGAGUGCCCUUACCUGCACUAACUGUACAUAUAUCGUCAGCAAGUUUCCUUUCUGUAUAGCAUGUUAAUUAAGAUUAAAAGCCUUAGCUGUGUUUUGGAUAUAGAGAAAGAAAAGAAACAGGCAUGUAAGAAAGAAAGUUUAGUAGCAUUUGCUGUACAGUGUGCUGUUGUGUUUUACCAAAUCCUGUUGGUAACGACGCUCUGCAGUGUUAGUUAAUAUCUGUUCAAUAAUAUUAAUCACAUUACCGCAGUUAUUUACCUUUAUAGAAAUUUUGUACAGUUUUUCGCAGUAUUGUAACAAGAAAUGCCUUUGUUCCUCAUGGAUUAUUAUAUAACAUGCUGCACAACGUACUAGGCUAUGUAACCCAGGACACCUUUAUUCCUAUAAAGGAAGCGACGAUAUCGGGACUCCGAGGUAACAUGUGGAAAAAUUACAAACAUGUUUAUUAGCGAGAAAGGAGAGGUAUGCAUUUUGAAGUACUUACAGCUGAUUCUAGACGAGUUUUCUAUAUUUCUAAGUGUUUUGAUGAGGAUGAAAAAAUGCAUACCCAUGGAAAAUAAGCCAUAUAUCUCUACCUCAGGGGCCUAAACAAGCAGGGGUACACUUGCCAUCAAGUUUUGUUCACAACCCAAGAACAUGGGUGCUAUUCUUGAAAAGAGAAACCUUUAGGUCUCUUCUGGAUUAAAUGAGCCACUUUUUACAUCAUCUUUGUGGUGAUUGAGUCCUGUCACAAGCAAUAACUUUCCUGUACCCCACGUUUGUAGACAACAUCUGUUGAAAAGUGUGAAAACUGCCAGAAUAUAGCAAAAACUGGUGGCUUGUACUCACUUUGCUGUGGCCCAUGAUAAGUUGCUAUUGGUGAGUGGGGGUUAGGGUCAACUUUUUUCUAUACAUAUUUAGGAGUUAUUAAGACUCAAGUAGAGAAGUAGAUGAACCUUUGAGGAUAGAGAGACAAAAAAUGGAGCUGAUUAGAAAGGGAUAUGUCCUACAUAUUCAAAUGUUGCACCACAAGUCUAAGUGGUACAGUAGAAAUGACUGUUGUACGAAAGAGAAGCCAAGCUGGCCACAGUAUGCAGUAACUAGUGACUAAGACCAGAUUGUUAACGAGAUUGUUUUUUUGGUGUUGAAUGAAAUGUGUAGGAGAGUUUACUAGUAGUUCGAAGUGCCUUACUUAAUGGUGUUACUACCAAAUAGAGGGGGCUUGCCAUUUCAUGUUCUUCCAAUUCUUCUUGCCAUAUUAGAGUUAGAACCAUUUACACUAUCACGGGCAUUUUCAGCCCACUAUAGCUGCUAUGUAACCAUCCUUGUAUAGUCACGUGUCAAAAACAAACACCUGUAGAUUUUGUGUUAAAACCAGCAGAAAAUUAAUGAAUUUUCCAUUCUGGUUCAUUGCAAGGAUGGAUUGAAUUGCGUGGUUUUCGUCCGCCUUGCGUCCAUUUUUCGUUUUCCCAUCGAAAAAUGGUGCUGAUCAAUUCUUCACACAUCACCCACCUCAUUACAGAAAAUGUGCCACAACAUUCAGUCCAGUCUUCCAACUGACUUGAUUUCUCACAAUUUUGCUUGUCAGAAAUGACAAGUUCAUGAAGUUUAGCCAUUUGAUUUAUCUCCGUUUAUUUGAGAUUUUGGCAAGUCCUCACUUGGUGUCGAGUGACUUAAUGUUUGAUUAACUUCUCAUCAUUGUAUUUAUUACAGCCUUUUUUUGUUACUUAUUUGAUAGUGUUAAAGUAAUGGCUAUAAAAAAUGCCAGAUUUGCUUGUCAUAUUUAUUUUUCCCUCUUUGGGGCAUCCUUUGUCGGUUUGGUGCUUUCCAUUUUGUAUUUAUUUUCUUUAUUCGGUGCAUUUUCGGUUCUUAGCAUUGGAAAACCAGCAUUAAAGCCAUGUGUAAAAAGUCAGCAAAGUUGCUGCUUUACAACUAAACCAAACCUUAUUCUUGUAUCAAAGAAGAAAAGUUCCUGAGCACAAAAACAUCCGUCAGGAAAACUGUACAGAACCUAUAAGACGACAAGUUGUAUUUUUGUAUACCAACUCUUUUGAAGAAUCUUUUUCCUACAGGUUGACAUCUGUAGAAGACUACUUACAUGCGAACAUUGUUUAGUAGUCGCUUGGACUUGUUAGGUUGACCACGCAGUACUGAUAGGGACUUUUUAUGCUCGAUUGAUUACUCCCCUUUGCUACCCUGUAACCUAGUGAUAUUUUAAUAAAAGCUGACAUAUUUUAUAGCAGA